AGAGUUUGAUUCUGGCUCAGGAUGAACGCUAGCUACAGGCUUAACACAUGCAAGUCGAGCGGAACACCUUCGGGUGUUUAGCGGCAGACGGGUGAGUAACACGUAUCCAACCUUUCCCUUACUUCGGUGUAGCCUCUGGAAACGGAGAGUAAUCCCGGAUGAAGUGUACGAUAAGCAUUUUUUGCACACCAAAGAUUUAUCGGUAAGGGGUGGGGAUGCGUUCCAUUAGGUAGUAGGCGGGGCAACGGCCCACCUAGCCGAUGAUGGAUAGGGGUUCUGAGAGGAAGGUCCCCCACAUUGGAACUGCGACACGGUCCAAACUCCUACGGGAGGCAGCAGUGAGGAAUAUUGGUCAAUGGUCGGAAGACUGAACCAGCCAAGUAGCGUGCAGGAUGACGGCCCUAUGGGUUGUAAACUGCUUUUGUGCGGGAAUAACGGUAGCCACGUGUGGUUGCGUGCAUGUACCGUACGAAUAAGGAUCGGCUAACUCCGUGCCAGCAGCUGC
rnacentral:rRNA from 1 species